AUGCCAGAGACGUUGGUCUUACAGAGCCAGAAGGACUCGUCAUAUGAGAUAACAAGGGCUGAAGCCAGUUGGAUCUAAAGUGCCAAGUUAUUCGUUAUCAGGUGUUCCUGGACAGUUUUGAAACCGAGAUGUCUGAACGCCUCAAAUAAUCAGCAGUAAAGACAACAGAGACAAAUUCUCUAAUACCAAGGUCAAUGCAUUUGACUGCUGUCCAGCCCCGGGUUGCCACCGAAAACUUUAUGCAUCUUGGACUGGAAGAUGGUGUGCUUAUAAGGAAGCUAGCUACCACAGCUUUUGC